rnacentral:rRNA from 1 species
AGCGAACGCUGGCGGCAGGCUUAACACAUGCAAGUCGAGCGGGCGUAGCAAUACGUCAGCGGCAGACGGGUGAGUAACGCGUGGGAACAUACCUUUUGGUUCGGAACAACACAGGGAAACUUGUGCUAAUACCGGAUAAGCCCUUACGGGGAAAGAUUUAUCGCCGAAAGAUUGGCCCGCGUCUGAUUAGCUAGUUGGUAGGGUAAUGGCCUACCAAGGCGACGAUCAGUAGCUGGUCUGAGAGGAUGAUCAGCCACAUUGGGACUGAGACACGGCCCAAACUCCUACGGGAGGCAGCAGUGGGGAAUAUUGGACAAUGGGCGCAAGCCUGAUCCAGCCAUGCCGCGUGAGUGAUGAAGGCCCUAGGGGUUGUAAAGCUCUUUUGUGCGGGAAGAUAAUGACGGUACCGCAAGAAUAAGCCCCGGCUAACUUCGUGCCAGCAGCCGCGUAAU